rnacentral:lncRNA from 1 species
CCCAGCCCUACUGAGUACACUGUCAAAUGGAAACUCCUUAGACCCAAUUAAUCAUGCUAGCAGGUGAAUUAAAAUAAAAACUAGCAACACAUCAUUCUUUUGGUUUACAAAACAUGAGUGGAGAUUUAGGGACUGCUGGUUUCUUAAACUCCUGUCUUCUCCUGAUACUUCACUGCACUGCUUACUCCUAAAACGCAUGACCCAACUCCCCAUCUCUCCUUGGCAGAAGAGACUAAACGAGGUAGCUGGAGGCGUAAAGAGUAGAACCUUAAGGUUGCUUCUAUGAAAAAUAAACACAACGCGAAAGUAUGCCUAGCACUCAAUAGGUUUUUAAUCCUCAAUCGAUUUUAAUCAAUUUUUUGGAAAAGUUUCCGUGCCACGUUCCAGCAUUAAUCCGUAACACGAAAGAAGGCAGGUGCUAACUGGAUAGAGACCCGCCACCAGCUAACUGUGACUGAGAAGCGCCUUUGGGGCCCGGACUGACACGCGGCGCCUGAUUCACAAAGCUCAGCGAGAGGUUCCAACAGGAACCCGUCGUUCAAGGAGAAAACCCAAAGCAACCAAGCAUGCCGAAGGAGCCCCCAAGGGAUCCCGGAACCCAGGCAAGUCGCGGGAAAAGGGGCCGUUAGGAGGUCGCCGUGGCCGGGGCGGGGCGGGGGGUGGCGGCCUGGGCUUCUCCAGGACUCGGACAGCGACUUCCAAGCCCACUCCCCACACAGGCCCCGCGCCGGUCCCAGGUGCCACCAAUCCCCGAGUGGCCACGCGACCAAGCCUCAGCUGCGGGCAGCUAGCCCGCACCUCCACGUCGAUGUCCAGGAAGCCGCCCUCCG